rnacentral:lncRNA from 1 species
AGAGAAAGUUUGACUUUGGACUAUUUUCUUAUCUAUGCAUGGUUGGCUUUGCAAUGAGCAAAACCCAACACAAAAUUGGAUUUUUUAGGACACUGCAGGGCUUAGAAGAUUAUAUCCACUAAGUUUAUGUAACCAGGAAGCACUGAUCCCAGAAAGACACCGAUGCCCAAACAAGUCAGAGCUCCCGCUGUGACGCAGGCACUUUGCUGUUUUUCCCAGAGCUACCUACUUACAGGGAAUUACACGUGUUGCUGUGCUGAGACCCAAU